ACUUUUUAGUGACUCAGAAGAUACAAACUCAGCAUGAAUUUCAGUUUUAUCUCAGCAGUGGCACACACACAGGGUGUUUCUGAUGGCGCUGUAUAAUGGAAAUAUGGACAAGGAGUACCAGUGAAACAUGAAUAUUAACCAUGUCUCUUUGUGAGCAUACUGAAGUCUAAAAAGGAUGAGCACUGUGGAAAGAAGAUGUCAACACCAACUGAUACAACGAAGUGCCAUUUCUUUGGUGACAUAAAAGGACAUACUGAAGGACCAUUUCCUUGGUGACAUCAAAGUGAACAAAACCAUCUACAGAAAAGAUUACCUAUUCAUGUCUAUAUUUUGAUGCUGAUAAGGAGUAAUGCUGUAGAUUUUGGGCAUCAUGUUCACUUUCACUGAAGCAAGCACAAUGUCACAUUUCUUUCCUGGCACCGAAUCUAUUAGAAGAUUGUCAAACUGACGGGGAAGUAAAAGGUUCUACUCUGGAAACAGCAUAUCUGUCGUAAAAGAAAGAUGUUGGAGUUUAUGGAAAAGUAAAGGUAAG